ACGGCUCAGUAACACGUGGCCAACCUGCCCUUAGGACAAGUAUAACCCCGGGAAACUGGGGAUAAUCCUUGAUAGGUGAGGAAUUCUGGAAUGAGUCUUUGCUUAAAGGACGUGCAGAUCACGCUUCUGUGCGUUGCCUAAGGAUGGGGCCGCGGCCGAUCAGGUUGUUGGUGAGGUAACGGCUCACCAAGCCUAUAACCGGUACGGGCCGUGAAAGCGGAAGCCCGGAGAUGGGCACUGAGACAAGGGCCCAGGCCCUACGGGGCGCAGCAGUCGCGAAAACUCCGCAAUACGCGAAAGCGUGACGGGGCUAUCCCAAGUGCUAUUCGAUGAGAGUAGCUUUUCCUCAGUGUAAAGUGCUGGGGGAAUAAGGAGGGGGCAAGACUGGUGUCAGCCGCCGCGGUAAUACCAGCUCUCCGAGUGAUAGGGACGUUUAUUGGGCCUAAAGCAUCCGUAGCUUGCUGAGUCUGUCCUCCGUUAAAUCCAACGAUUUAAUCGUUGGGCUGCGGGGGAUACUGCUUAGCUAGGAGGCGGGAGAGGCCGACGGUAUUUCCGGGGUAGGGGUGAAAUCCUAUAAUCCCGGGACGACCACCAGUGGCGAAGGCUGUCGGCUAGAACGCGCUCGACGGUGAGGGAUGAAAGCUGGGGGAGCAAACCGGAUUAGAUACCCGGGUAGUCCCAGCUGUAAACGAUGCAGGCUAGGUGUUGGUGUGGCUACGAGCCGCUCCAGUGCCGCAGGGAAGCCGUUAAGCCUGCCGCCUGGGAAGUACGGC
rnacentral:rRNA from 1 species